UGGAUUUUUGGAACUAGGAGUUG
rnacentral:piRNA from 1 species